rnacentral:tRNA from 2 species
UUCCUGAGUAGCUCAAUGGCAGAGCACCCCGCUGUUAACGGGGACGUUGGUGGUUCGAGUCCAUCCUUGGGAGCCCA